rnacentral:rRNA from 1 species
AGGCCUUCGGGUCGUAAAGCUCUGUUGUUAGGGAAGAACAAGUACCAGAGUAACUGCUGGUACCUUGACGGUACCUAACCAGAAAGCCACGGCUAACUACGUGCCAGCAGCCGCGGUAAUACGUAGGUGGCAAGCGUUGUCCGGAAUUAUUGGGCGUAAAGCGCGCGCAGGCGGUUCCUUAAGUCUGAUGUGAAAGCCCACGGCUCAACCGUGGAGGGUCAUUGGAAACUGGGGAACUUGGGUGCAGAAGAGGAAAGCGGAAUUCCACGUGUAGCGGUGAAAUGCGUAGAGAUGUGGAGGAACACCAGUGGCGAAGGCGACUCUCUGGUCUGUAACUGACGCUGAGGCGCGAAAGCGUGGGGAGCGAACAGGAUUAGAUACCCUGGUAGUCCACGCCGUAAACGAUGAGUGCUAAGUGUUGGAGGGUUUCCGCCCUUCAGUGCUGCAGCUAACGCAUUAAGCACUCCGCCUGGGGAGUACGGUCGCAAGACUGAAACUCAAAGGAAUUGACGGGGGCCCGCACAAGCGGUGGAGCAUGUGGUUUAAUUCGAAGCAACGCGAAGAACCUUACCAGCUCUUGACAUCCUCUGACAACCCUAGAGAUAGGGCUUUCCCCUUCGGGGGACAGAGUGACAGGUGGUGCAUGGUUGUCGUCAGCUCGUGUCGUGAGAUGUUMSGUUAAGUCCCGCAACGAGCGCAACCCUUGAUCUUAGUUGCCAU